GAUGAAGAACGUAGCGAAAUGCGAUAAGUAAUGUGAAUUGCAGAAUUCAGUGAAUCAUCGAAUCUUUGAACGCACCUUGCGCUCCUUGGUAUUCCGAGGAGCAUGCCUGUUUGAGUGUCAUGAAAUUCUCAACCUUUUCAGCUUUCUUUGUUGAUCAGGCUUGGAUGUGGGAGUAUGCGGGCUUCUCAGAAGUCGGCUCUCCUGAAAUGCAUUAGCGGGACCUUUGUUGCCUGGCUUUGGUGUGAUAAUUAUCUUCGCCAUUGUAGUCAAGCAGCUUAAAAUGAGGUUUCAGCUUCUAACCGUCUCCCCUGAGACAACUUUUUGACAAUUUGACCUCAAAUCAGGUAGGACUACCCGCUGAACUUAAGCAUAUCAAUAAGCGGAGGA
rnacentral:misc_RNA from 1 species